UAUCAAUCAAUUUUCGGGUUAGAUUUGUUGAUGGGAGAUAAAAUACCGAAAGUGACUAUAAGUAGACUGCUGGACAUUGAACUGAUUGAACAAAACAAAAACCUUUAAAUCGUUGACGUUCUCCGCAAUGACUACUUCAGCUCGCGUAGGCAAUCCAACAUACUUAAAAAGCUUCUGGCAGCAACAUGUUGCACGCAACAAGAACAACACACACAAACUCAACAAUUUAGGCAAUAUCCUGCUGCUAAAUGAAGGCGGAAAAUUUAUUUGGAAAAUACUUAAAAUCCAUCAAUACGCAACGCCUUUUCCGGUUAAACCAUUUGCCUUCCCAAAACUACAAAAAAACAGUGAGCAAAACGCGAGAAAAUGGAA